rnacentral:siRNA from 1 species
AUCUGUAAAUCGUCGGUUAAGGCC